CGGGUGAGUAAUGCCUAGGAAUCUGCCUGGUAGUGGGGGACAACGUCUCGAAAGGAACGCUAAUACCGCAUACGUCCUACGGGAGAAAGCAGGGGACCUUCGGGCCUUGCGCUAUCAGAUGAGCCUAGGUCGGAUUAGCUAGUUGGUGAGGUAAUGGCUCACCAAGGCGACGAUCCGUAACUGGUCUGAGAGGAUGAUCAGUCACACUGGAACUGAGACACGGUCCAGACUCCUACGGGAGGCAGCAGGC
rnacentral:rRNA from 1 species